rnacentral:lncRNA from 1 species
GGAUUAAGAUAUAGAGAGAAAAUUAAAAUGCAUGCAAAAGAGAUAAAAAAAAUGAGAUGCUGGGGGUGUGCGAGCAGUAAAUGAGGGUGCAGGAACUAGAAGGAAGACAGAUUGGGCUUAGGGAACAAAUCUCGGCCGUUGAUUUGAUCAACGGCCUUGAUUGGAUCUGUUGAAGAAGAGGGGUAUAAAUACCCAUUUCUCUCUUUUUCCUUCAUUUCUUUCUUUCUCUUCUCUCUC